AACGAACGCUGGCGGCGUGGCUAAGACAUGCAAGUCGAACGGACCAUUAAUUUAUUAGUGGUUAGUGGCGAAAGGGUUAGUAACGGAUAGGUAACGUACCCUGUGCUUUGGGAUAGCGUCAGUUGCUUCGGCAACUUUCCGAAAGGGGCGGUAAUACCAAAUAAUAUCAUUUGUCGAUAGGCGAAUGAUCAAAGAUUUAUCGGCAUAGGAGCGGCCUGUCUCCUAUCAGCUUGUUGGUGAGGUAAAGGCUCACCAAGGCAACGACGGGUAGCGGGACUGAGAGGUUGGCCCGCAACAUCGGGACUGAGACACUGCCCGGACCUCCACGGAGGGCUGCAGUAACGAAUAUUGCGCAAUGGGCGAAAGCCUGACGCAGCGACGCCGCGUGUAGGAUGAAGUCUUUCGGGAUGUAAACUACUGUCAGGGGGAAGAAAGUGCGCUUCGGCGUAUUGAUCUAACCCAGAGGAAGUCACGGCUAACUUCGUGCCAGCAGCCGCGGUAAGACGAAGGUGGCAAGCGUUGUUCGGUAUUACUGGGCUUAAAGCGUGUGUAGGCGGAAAAGUAAGCGUUCUGUGAAAGCCCCCGGCUUAACCGGGGAAUUGCGCAACGAACUGCUUUUCUUGAGGCAAGUAGGGGUGCAUGGAACUCUUGGUGGAGCGGUGGAAUGCGUAGAUAUCAAGAGGAACGCCAGUGGAGAAAUCGGUGCACUGGGCUUGUUCUGACGCUGAGACACGAAAGCGUGGGGAGCGAACGGGAUUAGAUACCCCGGUAGUCCACGCCGUAAACGAUGCCUACUAGGUUGUGGUGGUUCUGACACCAGCACAGCCGAAGCAAAAGUGUUAAGUAGGCCGCCUGGGGAGUACGGCCGCAAGGCUA
rnacentral:rRNA from 1 species